CGCCUCCUCCUCUCUCCUAUAUGCCCUAACCCCACACCGCCUCCUCCUCUUUCCUAUGCCCUAACCCCAUGCCGCCACCGCCUCCUCUCUCCUAUGCCCUAACCCCACGCCGCCAUGGCUUCGUACUGAGCCAUAGGCGCCCGCUGCUCACCCACGUUGACGACUAGCUCAGUGUGCUCCAUUCCUAGGCCUCCUACCUCGACCAGGACGGGGUGGCGCUGGUCCACGUCCAGGCGUUCCUCCGCGUCCUCGACGAGCUCCUCCUCAUGAUGCCGCAGUCCUGCCGCAGCGCAGCGCCGCGCCGCCAAGGAUCUCGCCACCGCGGUAGCCAGCUCCAUGCACAAACUAUUCAUUUAAGUGCAUAUUUUGUAAGAUAAUCUCUGAUUUUGAUUUUGUUUUCCCCAGUGGAUUUCAGGAUAGAAGGGCACGCGGUAAACGAGCAAGAGAAAUUACUCAAAGGCAAACUUCAGUUAAGAUUGAUCUAGGAUUGGUCCAACAAUGCCAACAGUGCAUAGUUGUAUGUCAUUUAAGGCCGUCUAAAUUUCAUAUUUCAUACCACCUGAUCUCACGAGUUCUCCUGCAUACCUGCAUGGGCUCAAAAAGAAAAAUCUAAGCUGGGCGACAUGUAAAUGGACUGAACCUCAGCUGGAUGUGCCGUUUGCUGUUAUUCUGAGAUCAGCUCUGGG